AUUGAACGCUGGCGGCAUGCCUUACACAUGCAAGUCGAACGGCAGCACGGGGCAACCUGGUGGCGAGUGGCGAACGGGUGAGUAAUGCAUCGGAACGUACCUUUCAGUGGGGGAUAACGUAGCGAAAGUUACGCUAAUACCGCAUAUUCUGUGAGCAGGAAAGCAGGGGAUCGCAAGACCUUGCGCUGAUUGAGCGGCCGAUGUCAGAUUAGCUAGUUGGUGAGGUAAAGGCUCACCAAGGCGACGAUCUGUAGCGGGUCUGAGAGGAUGAUCCGCCAAACGGGAACUGAGCCACGGUCCAGACUCCUACGGGAGGCAGCAGUGGGGAAUUUUGGACAAUGGGGGCAACCCUGAUCCAGCCAUGCCGCGUGAGUGAAGAAGGCCUUCGGGUUGUAAAGCUCUUUCGGCCGGGAAGAAAUCGCACGGGCUAAUACCCUGUGUGGAUGACGGUACCGGAAUAAGAAGCACCGGCUAACUACGUGCCAGCCGCCGCCGUAAUAC
rnacentral:rRNA from 1 species